AACGAACGCUGGCGGCAGGCCUCAUACAUGCAAGUCGAGCGAUUAAGACUCCUUCGGGAGUGUAUAAAGCGGCGAACGGGUGAGUAACAGGUGGAUGAUCUACCUUCCGGUGGGGGAUAACGGCUGGAAACGGCCGCUAAUACCGCAUUCGGUUAAUACGCUGUGGCGUAUUAAAGAAAGGCGCCUCAAAGCGCCGCCGGGAGAUGAGUCCGCCCCCCAUUAGCUAGUUGGUGAGAUAACAGCUCACCAAGGCAACGAUGGGUAGCCGAACUGAGAGGUUGAUCGGCCACACUGGAACUGAGACACGGUCCAGACACCUACGGGUGGCAGCAGUAGGGAAUAUUGGGCAAUGGGCGAAAGCCUGACCCAGCCAUGCCGCGUGAGUGAUGAAGGUCCUAGAGAUUGUAAAAACUCUUUUCUGAGGAAAGAAAUGAAUAGGGAAGGAAAUGUCCUUAUUUUGACGGUAACCUCAGGAAUAAGGAACGGCUAACCCGUGCCAGCAGCCGCGGU
rnacentral:rRNA from 1 species